rnacentral:rRNA from 1 species
GAAUUUUGGACAAUGGGCGAAAGCCUGAUCCAGCAAUGCCGCGUGUGCGAAGAAGGCCUUCGGGUUGUAAAGCACUUUUGUCCGGAAAGAAAUCCGUCUGGCUAAUACCCGGAUGGGAUGACGGUACCCAAAGAAUAAGCACCGGCUAACUUCGUGCCAGCAGCCGCGGUAAUACGAAGGGUGCAAGCGUUACUCGGAAUUACUGGGCGUAAAGCGUGCGUAGGUGGUUUGUUAAGUCUGAUGUGAAAGCCCUGGGCUCAACCUGGGAAUGGCAUUGGAAACUGGCUGACUGGAGUGCGGUAGAGGGUAGUGGAAUUCCCGGUGUAGCAGUGAAAUGCGUAGAUAUCGGGAGGAACAUCCGUGGCGAAGGCGACUACCUGGACCAGCACUGACACUGAGGCACGAAAGCGUGGGGAGCAAA